rnacentral:rRNA from 1 species
GUCUACGGCCACGCCACCCUGAACAAGCCCGAUGUCUGAUCUCGGAAGCUAAGCAGGGUCAGGCCUGGUUAGUACUUGGAUGGGAGACCACCUAGGAAGACCAAGUGCUGUAGGCG